CCUACGGGGGGCUGCAGUGGGGAAUAUUGGACAAUGGGCGAAAGCCUGAUCCAGCCAUGCUGCGUGUGUGAAGAAGGCCUUCGGGUUGUAAAGCACUUUCAGUGGGGAAGAAAGCCUUGGGGCUAAUACCCUCGAGGAAGGACAUCACCCACAGAAGAAGCACCGGCUAACUCCGUGCCAGCAGCCGCGGUAAUACGGAGGGUGCGAGCGUUAAUCGGAAUUACUGGGCGUAAAGCGCGCGUAGGCGGUCUGAUAAGCCGGUUGUGAAAGCCCCGGGCUCAACCUGGGAACGGCAUCCGGAACUGUCAGGCUAGAGUGCAGGAGAGGAAGGUAGAAUUCCCGGUGUAGCGGUGAAAUGCGUAGAGAUCGGGAGGAAUACCAGUGGCGAAGGCGGCCUUCUGGACUGACACUGACGCUGAGGUGCGAAAGCGUGGGUAGCAAACAGGAUUAGAUACCCCGGUAGUC
rnacentral:rRNA from 1 species